rnacentral:rRNA from 1 species
GAUGAACGCUGGCGGCGUGCCUAACACAUGCAAGUCGAACGCUCGCAAGAGAGUGGCGCACGGGUGAGUAACACGUAGCUAAUCUGCCCUCAAGACAAGGAUAACUGUAGGAAACUACUGCUAAUACUUGAUAAGCUUACGGACUGUAGAGGUCUAUAAGAAAAGAUUUAUCGCUUGAGGAUGAGGCUGCGCGCCAUCAGCUAGUUGGUAAGGUAAUGGCUUACCAAGGCGACGACGGCUAGGGGACCUGAGAGGGUGACCCCCCACACUGGGACUGAGACACGGCCCAGACUCCUACGGGAGGCAGCAGUGAGGAAUAUUGCUCAAUGGGCGCAAGCCUGAAGCAGCGACGCCGCGUGGAUGAAGAAGGUUUUCGGACUGUAAAAUCCUUUCUGUGUGACGAGAGUGGACGGUAGCACAGGAAUAAGUCUCGGCUAAACUACGUGCCAGCAGCCGCGGUAAU